rnacentral:rRNA from 1 species
GAUGAACGCUGGCGGCGUGCCUAAUACAUGCAAGUCGAGCGAACGGACGAGAAGCUUGCUUCUCUGAUGUUAGCGGCGGACGGGUGAGUAACACGUGGAUAACCUACCUAUAAGACUGGGAUAACUUCGGGAAACCGGAGCUAAUACCGGAUAAUAUUUUGAACCGCAUGGUUCAAAAGUGAGAGACGGUCUUGCUGUCACUUAUAGAUGGAUCCGCGCUGCAUUAGCUAGUUGGUAAGGUAACGGCUUACCAAGGCAACGAUGCAUAGCCGACCUGAGAGGGUGAUCGGCCACACUGGAACUGAGACACGGUCCAGACUCCUACGGGAGGCAGCAGUAGGGAAUCUUCCGCAAUGGGCGAAAGCCUGACGGAGCAACGCCGCGUGAGUGAUGAAGGUCUUCGGAUCGUAAAACUCUGUUAUUAGGGAAGAACAUAUGUGUAAGUAACUGUGCACAUCUUGACGGUACCUAAUCAGAAAGCCACGGCUAACUACGUG